UCAGCGUUGCGGAAGUGUCGACAUUGCAAUACAGAUGUGGAUACUAACCAAUUAGCGCCAGAUUAAUACGAAACUGAGACAUGUUAACGAUCUCAGUUGAGCUAACAGGGCCGCAAAGAUUAAAGCCUAUCUUUGAACGGUAGUAAGCAGCUCGCACAAA